GCAUUCUUAAGGACAGGAGAGAAUUCGCAACACAGAGCCCAGGGACCCGCUUGUUUCCAAAUGGCUCCCAUUCAGCGUUCACAUUUGCAGCAGUUAAAGCACACAAGUGUAUUCCAGAGGGCUCCCAGAUUCCAAAUCCAGGCCUUGUUUUCACUUCUCCCAGGUAGGUAGUGUAAUAAUUACUAACUCUGGCUGGCCAGAGGCUUCACACCUGGCUCACAGUUAAAGGAAUGAUGGAAAAUCAGCAGUGCUCGGC